UUUUGUUUCAUCCGACAUUUUAAAUUUUGACUAUCAAGUAAUCAAUAAAAAAAUUCAAUCUCUUUGACGACCAUAUAAACAUCAAAUUAAAUUCAGAAUCAAAAUUUACAGUCACCGUUCAAAAUUCGCAGUGAUUCCAUCUCGAAGAAAAUCUACAAGAAUACCAAAAAUACCUACAUAACAUAUCCAAAAUGAGUUGCUGCUCACCUUGUUGUUCACCCUGCUGCUCCCCGUGCUGUGUACCUUGUUAUCCCUGUUGCGUUCCCUGCGUAUACUAUCCGUGUUGUUUCCCCUGCUGCAGUCCGUGUUCUCCCAAAGGGUGCUGCUAGAAGAUUCCUGCAAUCGUAAUCCAACCAAGAUCAACAAAAUGAAAACCUUCAAAGGAAAAACAAGCCGCAGCAUGGCCUUUAUGAUGAUGAACUGAUACAUGACCAACUGUAAUAAAGAAUUGCUUUUCAAUUAUAGUAAACAAUUUAAUAAAAUUUUAAUUUUGUUAAAUA